UUUCAUACGUCCCCCAAUUCUCAUCUACAUAUACUCCAGAUUACAGCUUAUCAUAUAUCAUUGAUCAAUGGAUAGAUGGAAAGAUUGAUAAGAGAGAAAAUCUGGCGCCUGGCACAAACUAAAUACUAGUACUAGGCUCCGUUCAACCCAGAGUUGAUUGAGUCAGUAUGAGUUCAAACCUCCGAGAGGAGAGUCGUGAAACUAGUAGCUCCAACCAACCGGAGAAAAUUCUUCUCUCACAAUCAUCAUACGUAUUUCAAGAGCAUAUAGUCCUAUCGGAGCAAAAUAUUGAAACUGAUGCUAACUCUUGUCUGGGUCUAACUUCUGCCAACCCGUAUAAAACUGAUGAGCAAGGAUUAAUUGAUGAUGUAAGCGAUUUAUGGGAGUGUAGUUCUACUAGUCGGUCAACCCAAUCCAAUCCUCAGAUCCAAACCAAUUCAUACCAACCAAAUCAAACCUUCAAUGAACCAAACUGUCAACCAAACCUGACUCAGUGCAACUCUUCAAACCAGAGUAAAUCAAUUUCUCUGAAAGAUCAAAUUCAAUCAAUUUUGUUGGAUGACGAUCACUCCCAAUCCAGAUCCUCAAUACUAGGCCACCAAGAUCUGUAUCCUAUGGAUUGUUUGCUUGAUCUACCGUUCACUGAUACUGAAGAUCUACCCUGGCUUGAAACAAUUCCCCCUCUAAAUGAGAAUUAUUCAGAAGGUUUAAGUGAGGUGUCAAAAAGAAAAAGAAAAGAUCUAGACAAAGACGACCUAAUGCGGACCCUUAGCUGUGAUAGUGGGUUCACUGAAUCAGAAGAAAAUGAAUUUUCUCCGUUUCAGGAGUAUUUAAUUCCAGGAAGGUCUUUUUCAUCGCAGGACUAUUUCUCCACCUUCCAGGAUACACUGGAGAAAAUGGGAGAGGAGAAGGAGACUAUGGAGGAUGGAGAACAAGAAAUAAAUGAGGAUUUUUCCCUGGAUUUUCUUCUUGAAUCCUCAAGGUUGGUGGAAGACCAUAGUCUUGAGAAUCUAGAAACUAAACCUGGCAGAGACUCUGAGAUUUGUGAAACUGAUUGUGAUAUAACUUAUUGUGAUUCAACGACAAUUAGUUCAAGUCCCUCCUCUCCCACACAUUCUUCUUUUAUUCCGUCGUCCCCUUCUUCUUUUACUCUACAAUCAUCAUCACACUUUGCAUCCUCCUCUUCCCCCCUUUCUACAGGGUUCUCAUCUCUUCUUCCAUGUACUCCCCCCUACUCCCCGCUCUCAAGCUCCCCCAGCUCCUCAUUUAGCCUGGACUCCUGGUCUUCGGAUGAGUGGAGAGGAGAAGGAGGAUGGAGAGAUGGAGAAUGGAAAGGGGAAAUAAAAGAGUAUGAUUGGACAAAUAGAAAAGAAUCAUUAGAGGUGCUUGGGGUCAACCUGGAAACUCUGAUGUCUGUUGAGAGUGUCAAUAUCAAGAUAGAAGAUGAUUUGGAAACUAUGUCAGCAGUUCAAAGUAUCACAUCAGCAGAUCCUGUCCGCCAUUUUGAGGAAAAGUUCCCUAUCCGAAGGAAAACGACAAGUGAAAUAGGAUAUAAUCUACAUAUGGCUUGUCACGACUACACUCCAAACAUUGGUGGGAAAGCAGUUUCAUCAGUGCGCCAACAUUCUUAUAGAAAGCGCGGCCAGCCAAAUUUAGAUGGAGACUACCUUGCUCAUGGGACCGGAAUACCCAGAAGAAAUGCUCCACCUAAGACGCACAUUAAGGAGGAAGACAAAGUAUUUCCUUGUGAUCAUCCUGGAUGUGGAAAACUUUAUGCCAAAGCAUCACAUCUGAAAGCACACAUGAGGAGGCAUACAGGAGAAAAACCGUUUGUUUGUAACUGGUCUGGUUGUGGUUGGAGGUUUAGUAGGUCAGAUGAACUAGCUAGACAUCGCCGAUCUCACUCUGGAGUUAAACCUUACAAGUGUCAAGUGUGUAACAAACGGUUUGCAAGAUCUGAUCAUCUAGAUAAACACAUAAAAAUUCAUAACAAGGAUCACAUACCAUCCUCACUCUGUAACAAUAGGCGACGAGGGCUCAUCGGGAGUAUCGGGGGGACUCAUUCACAGAUUAUUCUAAAACCGCUUUUUUAAUCCAAACUACGAAAUUUUAUAUUCUUGUAUUGAGUCAAUAAUAAAUAAGGAGUUUUCUAUAAAAUACUCAUUUAAAUAUACCAAAAACAACUUAAAUGUAAAGUUCAAAUGAUAAAUUCACUAUUUUUAAUGUUUCAGCCAGUCCAAAAAGCUGAAGAAAGUAAAACAGUUUGCGAUAAAAAGACAAAAUCUUAGAGAUUGUGUUUAUAGUGUGAAAUUUUAAAACGUAGUUUUCUUCCAUAUUUUGCCGACGAAUAUUUUUUAGAUCGUUAUUUACAAUUUAAAUUUUAUUGCUAAUCUUUUUAUGUAAACUUUCAUGUUAAGUUUAUGUGUUGAAAUAAACGAUAUUGUUAGAUAAAAACA
rnacentral:misc_RNA from 1 species